GACGAACGCUGGCGGCGUGCUUAACACAUGCCAGUCGUACGGUAAGGCCCUUUCGGGGGUCCACGAGUGGCGAACGGGUGAGUAACACGUGAGUAACCUGCCCACAACUUUGGGAUAACGCUAGGAAACUGGUGCUAAUACUGGAUAUGUGCUCCUGCUGCAUGGUGGGGGUUGGAAAGCUCCGGCGGUUGUGGAUGGACUCGCGGCCUAUCAGCUUGUUGGUGGGGUAGUGGCCUACCAAGGCGGCGACGGGUAGCCGGCCUGAGAGGGUGACCGGCCACAGUGGGACUGAGAUAAGGCCCAGACGCCUACGGGAGGCAGCAGUGGGGAAGAUUGCACAAUGGGCGCAAGCCGGAUGCAGCAACGCCGCGUGCGGGAUGACGGCCUUCGGGUUGUAAACCGCUUUCAGCAGGGACGAAGCUUUUUGUGACGGUACCUGCAGAAGAAGCACCGGCUAACUACGUG
rnacentral:rRNA from 1 species